ACUCGCUCGUUCGGGCAGUGGUUUGGCGCGGUGGGUUCAUGUCUGGCUCAACCCUCACGCGUCUUUUGCCAGCGAGCCUCCGCGGUGCACGGACACACACACACACACACACACGGAGAUCAUCGUCCAUUACUCCGGGGCUGGAAAGGUUGUGGAGGAGAAGGGAGAAGAAAGAGAAGAACACUGGAAUGGGAGAAGAGAACCAGUGCGAGAAUAAAGUGAAAAGUGAAAGAGGAAGGAAGGAAGAAGAGAACACUUGUGGGGAAGAAGAACAUUACUGCAGCCGUGGAAGAGAGAAGAAAACAUCAGUGUGAAAGAAGAGAGAAGAGGAUAUUAUACAGGCAUGGAGGAGGAGGAAGAAAGACGAGAAAACUACAAGCAUUAAUUAUGGUGUGGUGCAGUGUAGGCCCAGCCACACAUCAGCCCUCCAGCGAUCCACUUACCCGGCCCCUGUGGAGACACUCCUGCAUGUGUCCUAUGGCAGUCCGGUUGUCAGCCAGGCAACCUAGAUUCAGGAAGGAAUGAAGAUCAACGUUAGUUUUGUGACAAUUGUGUGUGCUCUGCCCACCAUGUGUGUAAUCAUCACGGAUAAACUAAGGGUCACA